UAUAGCUGGUAGCUCUUGCUGGUUCUCGACGGCCCAGGCCCAUGUGUCGGUCGCUCUUGGUGGGCUGGCUGCCUUGCCGUGGGUCGACGUGGCCAUGAUAGUAAUUGGGUCGCUGACAAGACAAGUGGGGCCCUUCACUUAGUACACUUUCCCCAACCCAGCCGCAUCUACAUUUCUCUCCUCUCUCCCCCUCCGGUCCCUCUGGUGGCUCCCGAGAUCUGAUUUUUACCAGAGAAUCACCGGCGGCCGUUUCAUCGACUUCACUCAAAAGAUUUGCAGCCAAGCAGGGCUGAGAAAAGCAAGUAGGCCUCGGUUUUGGUAUUCUCCAAAAAAAAGAACUGGGCUAGCCUUUUUCAGAAACAAAAAAGAUAUCAAUUGGGCUCGUCAUGUGCUUAAAUAAAAGCUUAAGCGUGGGCUAGACGGGCCACAGCCCCCGGAGAACACGCAGUUGAGCUCCGUCUCUGAUACUAAAAAGCAACUGGGUGAGCUGCUGGGUCCUUGGUGUUAUCCGCUCGUUGUGUAAUUUUCUCGUUUAUUGACCACAUCGACAAUGGCGUGGGACCUAGUUGUCAAACAAUUAGGAGGAAGUAUUUUUGUGGCUUGUAAUAAUGAGGCACCUGCUUGCCUAAUGCAAUGAGCCUAGUGGGUCCC